UAGGGAAUCUUCGGCAAUGGGGGGAACCCUGACCGAGCAACGCCGCGUGAGUGAAGAAGGUUUUCGGAUCGUAAAGCUCUGUUGUUAAGGAAGAACGAGUGUGAGAAUGGAAAGUUCAUGCUGUGACGGUACUUAACCAGAAAGGGACGGCUAACUACGUGCCAGCAGCCGCGGUAAUACGUAGGUCCCGAGCGUUGUCCGGAUUUAUUGGGCGUAAAGCGCGCGCAGGCGGACUAGCCAGUCAGUCUUAAAAGUUCGGGGCUUAACCCCGUGAUGGGAUUGAAACUACUAGUCUAGAGUAUCGGAGAGGAAAGUGGAAUUCCUAGUGUAGCGGUGAAAUGCGUAGAUAUUAGGAAGAACACCAGUGGCGAAGGCGACUUUCUGGACGAACACUGACGCUGGGGCGCGAAAGCCAGGGGAGCGAACGGG
rnacentral:rRNA from 1 species